rnacentral:lncRNA from 1 species
GAAUAUAAACCGAAUUUAAUCGAGUAGAGAAUGGUCUGAACCCAAAGCGUAAGAUAAGAUCAAUUUACAUUAGUAAACUGUACAAGAGUCGCCAUGAUAUACAAAAUAGGAAGCGGGUGGAGAUACACAAAAGAGUUGUUCCAUUAAAGGAACUAGUUAUAUACAAUAGGAAAAGGAUCUUCAUCUCAGCACCACACUCCACAUCCGGCGCUCAACCUGCAAACAUUUUAAAAAGAUUUGGCUGAGCACUAUUGUACUCAGUGUGCUAUUGCCGUUUAUAAAACAUUUGAAAGAAUCAUAUAAUAAAAUGUUUCAUGCUUAACAGUAUGCAUAUGAAGUUUUUAAACAUAAAUCAUACAUCAUAAGCAUACAAAACUUUACUUUCUUAACUGCAUCUACUAUUGGUAUAACAUAUAACUGUAUGAUCGUCGAGGAAUUUUCUUCCACAUACGAUUCCCUUCAUCAGAACUGAGGAACCUGGCCAAGUUCUACCCAUUUCUGACUUCCGUGCGCACUACACUCUGGCUAGUACUAGCACAGAGCACGAUCGUUAACUCCUUGUUAAUUGGCAAAGCCAACUUCAUGCCAGUUAAUAGCACAUACCCAACAGAGAGUAAAACAUUGAAGCAUGAACAUUCAUGUUUGCUUUUAUAAACAUCAGAGCUUAAUAACUCAAAAGUACAUUUGAACAUAAACACACCUGAUACACAAGAUGGUUUUGGUCCCGCUAUAGAGUGGUUCCACUUAGGUAUCCUCUUCAGUUAGGCCUACAAUAUAAACCUUAGGUUUAGUGCCGAUAAACUAAAGCUACAACAUUAUCAUAUAUAAUCUACUCUUCAUCAUAGGUCUAUACUUCAAUCCUAGAUUCACAUUACCGACCUAAUAAAUUAUCGUUUUAGUAUAUCAUGAGUAUGCAUGCUUAUUACUCAAUAGUAACAUAAUAUCUCAACUUAAUGCAAAGUACAUAAUCAACCUUCCAUAUUUCACUCAACUUCAAAAAAAUAUUAUCAACUCAUUGAAAUUGAAUCAGAGAAUAUGACAUAUGAUUUUGAAAACCUCUAGAUGUCUAUUUUCUUUUAGAAGAAACUAUGAAUUAAAAUAUUUAUUAGAUUAUGAGAUGUGUACAAUUUAGUAAGAUCUACCAAAAAUGGACAGUUUUAAACCAUAUAAUUAGAAAUUACUUGAAAAAAUACUAAACCUCAUACAAUGAAGCUGAAAUUUAAACCACAAGAUCACAAAACAUUAUACUUAAUAUAGGAAAAGUUUCAGAUUAAUAUAACUAUAUAUAUGGCUUUUCAAAUAAUUUGUGAAACAUUAACAAAAAUAACUGUCCAAUAAAAGUACACUGUAAUUUACUCAAUUGUAAAAUUUGUAUAUUAUUAUAUACAAUAGAGAAAAUUAUAAGACAUACAUUUCCAGAAACCUAUGAAUGUCUAGUUUCGUUAAAAAUAGAAUGGUACUGAAAAAUACCAAACGAACAGAGAGUAAAACACCUUGUACCAUAACCUAGCAAAACUGUUCCAUUUUGACCAACAUUUUUAAAACUAAGAGUAAACAUAUAAGAUGAACUCCAAUAGCUAUGGAAUUUUACAUGGAGGAUAUAAACAUAAUAAAGUUGAUUCAGUAAAAUUUUCAAAUCAAAAGGACCCUUAAAACUUAUCGAAACAUCAAGUUGAAAACACUGCCAAGACAGAGGAUUUUUCACAGUUUUGGCAACAAUUUUCCAUCAUUUUUGAAAUAUAUUAAAUCGUCAUUAAAAAUUCUGAAAUUUAACAUUAUAACACUAGAAACACCAAAUAAUACACAGAAAAAUUGAAAAUCAAUAUUCAUUCAUUUCAACUAUAGAAGACAAGCUCAACAAAUUGGACAAAGAUUCUGGCCGAAAACAGGGGAUUUCAGCCCUUGACUCUAUAUGCACUUUCUUAUACAAAACUUUAAUUAUCCUGAUUCUAACAUAAACCUUUCACAAAAUUAGCCCUAUAUGAACACCUAAUUUCAAGAAUUAAAAGAAUCCAUGAGAAGCAUGAAGACCUUAAACUCUAUUAUUCACCUUCUCUCAAAACUAGUGUUCUAUCGAAA